UCAAGUAAGUCGGAUGUGAAAGCCCCGUGCUCAACGCGGGGAAGCCAUUCGAUACUGCGUGACUAGAGAACGGCAGAGGGAAACGGAAUUUCUGGUGUAGCGGUAAAAUGCGCAGAGAUCAGAAAGAACACCGAUGGCGAAGGCAGUUUCCUAGGCCGCAUCUGACGCUGAGAGGCGAAAGCUAGGGGAGCAAACAGGAUUAGAGACCCUGGUAGUCCUAGCUGUAAACGAUGGAUGCUAGGUGUGGGCCGGAAAGGUCCGUGCCGUAGUUAACGCGAUAAGCAUCCCGCCUGGGGAGUACGGCCGCAAGGCUAAAACUCAAACGAAUUGACGGGGACCCGCACAAGCAGCGGAGCGUGUGGUUUAAUUCGAUGCUACACGCAGAACCUUACCUGGGCUUGACAUGUAGGUGGUAGUGAAGUGAAAGCGGAGCGACCCUUCGGGGAGCCUACACAGGUGCUGCAUGNCUGUCGUCAGCUCGUGCCGUGAGGUGUCGGGUUAAGUCCCGUAACGAGCGCAACCAUUGUCCUUAGUUACAAGUGUCUAAGGAGACUGCCGGUGACAAACCGGAGGAAGGUGGGGAUGACGUCAAGUCAGCAUGGCCCUUAUGCCCAGGGCGACACACACGCUACA
rnacentral:rRNA from 1 species